AUUGAACGCUGGCGGCGGGCUUAACACAUGCAAGUCGAACGAUGAUUAUCUAGCUUGCUAGAUAUGAUUAGUGGCGGACGGGUGAGUAACAUUUAGGAAUCUGCCUAGUAGUGGGGGAUAGCUCGGGGAAACUCGAAUUAAUACCGCAUACGACCUACGGGUGAAAGGGGGCGCAAGCUCUUGCUAUUAGAUGAGCCUAAAUCAGAUUAGCUAGUUGGUGGGGUAAAGGCCCACCAAGGCGACGAUCUGUAACUGGUCUGAGAGGAUGAUCAGUCACACCGGAACUGAGACACGGUCCGGACUCCUACGGGAGGCAGCAGUGGGGAAUAUUGGACAAUGGGGGCAACCCUGAUCCAGCCAUGCCGCGUGUGUGAAGAAGGCCUUUUGGUUGUAAAGCACUUUAAGCAGGGAGGAGAGGCUAAUGGUUAAUACCCAUUAGAUUAGACGUUACCUGCAGAAUAAGCACCGGCUAACUCUGUGCCAGCAGCCGCGGUAAUACAGAGGGUGCGAGCGUUAAUCGGAAUUACUGGGCGUAAAGCGAGUGUAGGUGGCUCAUUAAGUCACAUGUGAAAUCCCCGGGCUUAACCUGGGAACUGCAUGUGAUACUGGUGGUGCUAGAAUAUGUGAGAGGGAAGUAGAAUUCCAGGUGUAGCGGUGAAAUGCGUAGAGAUCUGGAGGAAUACCGAUGGCGAAGGCAGCUUCCUGGCAUAAUAUUGACACUGAGAUUCGAAAGCGUGGGUAGCAAACAGGAUUAGAUACCCUGGUAGUCCACGCCGUAAACGAUGUCUACUAGCCGUUGGGGUCCUUGAGACUUUAGUGGCGCAGUUAACGCGAUAAGUAGACCGCCUGGGGAGUACGGCCGCAAGGUUAAAACUCAAAUGAAUUGACGGGGGCCCGCACAAGCGGUGGAGCAUGUGGUUUAAUUCGAUGCAACGCGAAGAACCUUACCUGGUCUUGACAUAGUGAGAAUCUUUCAGAGAUGAGAGAGUGCCUUCGGGAAUUCACAUACAGGUGCUGCAUGGCUGUCGUCAGCUCGUGUCGUGAGAUGUUGGGUUAAGUCCCGCAACGAGCGCAACCCUUUUCCUUAUUUGCCAGCGGGUUAAGCCGGGAACUUUAAGGAUACUGCCAGUGACAAACUGGUGGAAGGCGGGGACGACGUCAAGUCAUCAUGGCCCUUACGACCAGGGCUACACACGUGCUACAAUGGUAGGUACAGAGGGUUGCUACACAGCGAUGUGAUGCUAAUCUCAAAAAGCCUAUCGUAGUCCGGAUUGGAGUCUGCAACUCGACUCCAUGAAGUCGGAAUCGCUAGUAAUCGCAGAUCAGAAUGCUGCGGUGAAUACGUUCCCGGGCCU
rnacentral:rRNA from 1 species